GGAGGGUACAGUUCAGUGGUAGAGUGCAUGCCUAGCAUGCAUGAGGUCCUGGGUUCAAUCCCCAGCACCUCCA
rnacentral:tRNA from 1 species